ensembl:lincRNA
CCUCCCUGUGAACCCACGUGCCGGGCUGGACCAGAUGUUGCCGAUACCCUUGGAUCGUCGAUGGGCCCACGGGGAGGACCCUGGGGGUUCUGCUUGUCCACAGAGAUUUGGUCAGCAGCAAGAAACUCUAUCUCCGCUGCCAGCUGCUGGAGCAUCUGUCACUCCUGACACCAACGUCAGCCUGCAGCAUGUCAGAGCACCCGCGUUGGUGAUGCAGUGAUGAAGGCUCUGGGAAGCGCAGGUGGCCACUACCCAGCCAAGCCUGUGUCAUUGUGGACGCCAAAAAGCAGCUUGGUUUUCUAAAUUGACUCUGUAGCUGAGAAGGUGUAGGUUGUCUGCCCAACUUGCUAGGGAGAGUGCCUGACGCCCGCUAUCUCCUGGCCUCUGCUGCACUGUGUCCCUAUGAGAUUGUAAAGAUGGCAUAGACUUUGGAACUGAGUGUACAUCCUGAGGUCUCAUGUAGACACUCAUCAGCUAUAUAAUCUCUGGUGGGUUAUUUAAUCUCUGAACAAGUAUAAUUCUUCUAGGUCAGUUGGAAAGAAGAAACUCGUUUUAUUAAAUAAGUAUGACAGCUCUGUAAAA